GACGAACGCUGGCGGCGUGCUUAACACAUGCAAGUCGAACGGAAAGGCCCUGCUUUUGUGGGGUGCUCGAGUGGCGAACGGGUGAGUAACACGUGAGUAACCUGCCCUUGACUUUGGGAUAACUUCAGGAAACUGGGGCUAAUACCGGAUAGGAGCUCCUGCUGCAUGGUGGGGGUUGGAAAGUUUCGGCGGUUGGGGAUGGACUCGCGGCUUAUCAGCUUGUUUGUGGGGUAGUGGCUUACCAAGGCUUUGACGGGUAGCCGGCCUGAGAGGGUGACCGGCCACAUUGGGACUGAGAUACGGACCAGACUCCUACGGGAGGCAGCAGUGGGGAAUCUUGCACAGUGGGCGGAAGCCUGAUGCGGCAACCCCGCGUGCGGGAUGACGGCCUUCGGGUUGUAAACCGCUUUCGCCUGUGACGAAGCGUGAGUGACGGUAAUGGGUAAAGAAGCACCGGCUAACUACGUG
rnacentral:rRNA from 1 species